rnacentral:rRNA from 1 species
AGAACGAACGCUGGCGGCGCGUCUAAGCAUGCAAGUCGAACGGCAAGAGGUAGCAAUACCUCCUAGAGUGGCGGACUGGUGAGUAACACGUGGGUGACAUACCCUUCAGAUGGGGAUAGCUAUUAGAAAUAGUAGAUAAUACCGAAUACGAGCACAGGGGUUAGAGAUCUGUGAGGAAAGGAGCUAAGGCUCCGCUGAAGGAAUGGCCUGCGGCCCAUUAGCUAGUUGGUGAGGUAAGAGCCCACCAAGGCGAUGAUGGGUAUCCGGCCUUAGAGGGUGAACGGACACAUUGGGACUGAGAUACGGCCCAGACUCCUACGGGAGGCAGCAGCUAAGAAUAUUCCGCAAUGGACGAAAGUCUGACGGAGCGACGCCGCGUGGAUGAAGAAGGCCGGAAGGUUGUAAAAAUCCUUUUGAAACGGUGAAGAAUAAGCGUUGUAGGGAAUGACAGCGUGGUGACAGUAGGUUUUGAAUAAGCAACGGCUAAUUACGUGCCAGCCGCAGC